AAUUGAUUAGUCUAAUUUAAGACCUGUACUUUGAAAGUAUAAAAUAGUAAUUUCAUGCUAUCAAUUU
rnacentral:tRNA from 1 species